CACUCUUCCUGGUCUCCCCACAGCUCUCCAGGUCGCUGAGGCACUCUUCCUGGUCUCCCCACAGCUCUCCAGGUCGCUGAGGCACUCUUCCUGGUCUCCCCACAGCUCUCCAGGUCGCUGAGGCACUCUUCCUGGUCUCCCCACAGCUCUCCAGGUCGCUGAGGCACUCUUCCUGGUCUCCCCACAGCUCUCCAGGUCGCUGAGGCACUCUUCCUGGUCUCCCCACAGCUCUCCAGGUCGCUGAGGCACUCUUCCUGGUCUCCCCACAGCUCUCCAGGUCGCUGAGGCACUCUUCCUGGUCUCCCCACAGCUCUCCAGGUCGCUGAGGCACUCUUCCUGGUCUCCCCACAGCUCUCCAGGUCGCUGAGGCACUCUUCCUGGUCUCCCCACAGCUCUCCAGGUCGCUGAGGCACUCUUCCUGGUCUCCCCACAGCUCUCCAGGUCACUGAGGCACUCUUCCUGGUCUCCCCACAGCUCUCCAGGUCGUUGAGGCACUCUUCCUGGUCUCCCCACAGCUCUCCAGGUCGCUGAGGCACUCUUCCUGGUCUCCCCACAGCUCUCCAGGUCGCUGAGGCACUCUUCCUGGUCUCCCCACAGCUCUCCAGGUCGCUGAGGCACUCUUCCUGGUCUCCCCACAGCUCUCCAGGUCGCUGAGGCACUCUUCCUGGUCUCCCCACAGCUCUCCAGGUCACUGAGGCACUCUUCCUGGUCUCCCCACAGCUCUCCAGGUCGCUGAGGCACUCUUCCUGGUCUCCCCACAGCUCUCCAGGUCGCUGAGGCACUCUUCCUGGUCUCCCCACAGCUCUCCAGGUCGCUGAGGCACUCUUCCUGGUCUCCCCACAGCUCUCCAGGUCGCUGAGGCACUCUUCCUGGUCUCCCCACAGCUCUCCAGGUCGCUGAGGCACUCUUCCUGGUCUCCCCACAGCUCUCCAGGUCGCUGAGGCACUCUUCCUGGUCUCCCCACAGCUCUCCAGGUUGCUGAGGCACUCUUCCAGCAGGUCUUCCCGGCAUUAUGGCCUUCUAGAGGACAUCGUCUCGGACCGUGGCCCCCAAUUCACAACCUGAGUAUGGGAGGGCAUUCUUGGAGAAGCUCUGUGUCAUCCGGGUAUCGGCCUCAGUUUAACGGGCAGGUGGAGAUGAUAAAUCAGGAGCUGGGGAGGUUCCCAAGGAGUCACUGUCAGGACCGGCAGGGUGAAUGGGCUCGUUUCCUUCCUUGGGCAGAGUAUGCCCAGAACUCUCUACGUCACUCCUCCACUGGGUUGACCCCCUACCAGUGUGUUGGGUUUUCCAGCCGGCCCUGGCCCCAUGGACCCCGGGCCAGACCACAGCUCCUGCACCUCCUGAGUGGUUCUGGCGCGUGGUGUGGAACAAUGCACACUUGAGCCUGUGGUUGUGAAAAGCAGUGGGGCCUGUGGUUGUGAGUAGUGGUGGGGCCUGUGGUUGUGAAUAGCAGGGGGCUUGUGGUUGUGAGUAGUGAGUAGUGGUGGGGCCUGUGGUUGUGAAUAGCAGGGGGCCUGUGGUUGUGAGUAGCAGUGGGCUUGUGGUUGUGAGUAGUGGUGGGGCCUGUGGUUGUGAGUAGUGGUGGGGCCUGUGGUUGUGAAUAGUGGUGGGGCCUGUGGUUGUGAGUAGUGGUGGGGCCUGUGGUUGUGAGUAGUGGUGGGGCCUGUGGUUGUGAAUAGUGGUGGGGCCUGUGGUUGUGAG